rfam:Glycine soja cultivar W05 scaffold2403_31, whole genome shotgun sequence.
UUUUUAUUGAACGUUGAUCGUUACGUGUUGCAAUUUUAUUGGAGGUUGACAUUAAUUAGGUGUACGAAAUUAACAUCCAAUAAACAUGCAACAUAUGACGGUCAACAUCC